CAAGUGUAAGUAUUGCGAAACUUUACAUCAUAACGACAGAGAUCUCUGUCUGCGAUUUCGACCAAAAAAUGAUUAGCCUUAAUCACACACUUCUUGCCAGCAGUACCAAACCCAGGCCUAGGCGUGAAACGAACGGCCUUUGACGUCGCCGGCGUCUCAGCCUUCGUCACCUGAUCUCCAGUUGUUAGCUUCUGCUCCAUCUCUAGUCUCAGCUCCUCCACCGCCGCCGAACUCGAUGCCGCCGCCUGAGACGGCGAUGCUCUCGACGAAGAAGCCAAAGCUUGAGGAGGCGUUUGACUCGGAGCAACAGACAUGAUACCAGGAUGGAAGGCAGACGCCGGAGAACGAGAUAUGGGAGGGAAGGCCGAAGGCCGUGAAGGACCAGCUUGAUUGAAAGUUGGAGCGGGAUUAUAGCCGCGGCCAGCGCGUCCGCUGCCAUCUCUUCCACCUCUACCGCCACCACCACCGCGCUGGAACGACGGAGAUGGAGAUGAUGAUUGCUGAUCUCGGUGAGAAUCCUGGAGGCGACCACCGCCACGGCGAGACAUUGUGUCGAACGGUUACUACUUGCAGAGAAAGAGCUAAGAAAAACCGAAGACACCAACCAAUGAUUCUAACACUGAAAAUAAGGCAAGCAGAGAGUAAGAGAGAGAGAGAGAGAAAGAGAGUAUGCG
rnacentral:misc_RNA from 1 species